GACGAACGCUGGCGGCGUGCUUAACACAUGCAAGUCGAACGGAAAGGCUCUGCUUUUGUGGGGUGCUCGAGUGGCGAACGGGUGAGUAACACGUGAGUAACCUGCCCUUGACUUUGGGAUAACUUCAGGAAACUGGGGCUAAUACCGGAUAGGAGCUCCUGCUGCAUGGUGGGGGUUGGAAAGUUUCGGCGGUUGGGGAUGGACUCGCGGCUUAUCAGCUUGUUGGUGGGGUAGUGGCUUACCAAGGCUUUGACGGGUAGCCGGCCUGAGAGGGUGACCGGCCCAGUGGGAAAUGGGUAACGGCCGGGGGACCUCAGGGGGGAGGGGGGGGGGAAAGUUGGAGCAGGGGCGGGGGCGUGAUGAGGGACCGCGGGGGGCGGAACGAGGGCGGUCGGGUUGAAAACCGAUUUCGCCUGUAACGACGGCGAAGUGGCGGUAAUGGGAAAAGAGGAACCGCCAAACUACGG
rnacentral:rRNA from 1 species